rnacentral:lncRNA from 1 species
GUAUGUACUCGUGUCUUCGUCUGUUUAGUCAUUUUUAUGUUUGGUCAUUUGUCUGAUUGAAUGCUGGUUUGUUUGCUCCUUUUUGUUAAAAAUAUUAAAAAUAAACGAACACUAUAUUAAUAGUAUACUACCCUAUGUUGACGCGUUUAUACAUACAUGCACAUACACAUACAUAUACACAUAAUAUGUAUAUACAUAUCUUUUUUUAUUUAUAGGAAUUAUUAUUUAAAUACAUUAGUGUUUUACCUAGAUCGAACUGUAAACAUAUAAGGACAAAAUAGAUACAUAUAAAUAAACAUUACAAUCACAAAAACAUAUAAUUUCCAGUGCACUUACUUCUUUUAUUCAUUUGUACAAUUUUGUUUAUUCAUAUCCUCGUAUUAACAUAUAUAAUUUUUUUUUAUUUUUUUUUUCAGAUUUUUAAUAUUUACGAAAUGAGGGCAAAUGUAGAGAUAUACAAUUUACUUUUUAUAAUUAUCUGUCUAUUUCUUAGAAGAGCUACCAUAUUAAAUUUAAUUGUUUAUAUGCAUUUUUUUAAAUUAAAGUACACAUCUACAGAUACUUAUUUUCAUUCAUGUUACUCUAAAAACGGAAAAAUGAUAAGACAAUUUCUAUCUCACCCGAUGGCACCUAAAAUGUUAUUAAACAUUUUCGACAAAAUAUCUCAUUACUUCCAUGUUUAUUUGAACGGCGGUAGGAGGUAAUGUGCCAAGGAGUAACCCAUUUUUUUUUUGAGUCUUUGUGAUUAAUUGUAACGAAUAGAUAAGUAUACACAAUAUGGGCAUAUAUACGUGUUAUAAAUGCCUCAAAGAUUGUUAGAGUACAAUAUUCACAAUGAUGUAUAAAUCUUUUGAAUAGUUUACGAUUGUUAAUGUUUAAAUAAAAAAAUGUCAAAAAAAUGACA